rnacentral:rRNA from 1 species
CCUACGGGGGGCUGCAGUGGGGAAUUUUGGACAAUGGGCGCAAGCCUGAUCCAGCAAUGCCGCGUGCAGGAUGAAGGCCUUCGGGUUGUAAACUGCUUUUGUACGGAGCGAAACGGUCUUCUCUAAUACAGGAGGCUAAUGACGGUACCGUAAGAAUAAGCACCGGCUAACUACGUGCCAGCAGCCGCGGUAAUACGUAGGGUGCGAGCGGGAAUCGUAAUUACCGGGCGGGGAUCGUGCGGACAGAGGUGAAAUCCCCGGGCUUAACCUGGGACCUGCAUUUGUGACUGCAAGGCUGGAGUGCGGCAGAGGGGGAUGGAAUUCCGCGUGUAGCAGUGAAAUGCGUAGAUAUGCGGAGGAACACCGAUGGCGAAGGCAAUCCCCUGGGCCUGCACUGACGCUCAUGCACGAAAGCGUGGGGAGCAAACAGGAUUAGAUACCCCAGUAGUC